rnacentral:rRNA from 1 species
UACGUAGGGGGCAAGCGUUGUCCGGAUUUAUUGGGCGUAAAGCGCUCGCAGGCGGUCCGAUGCGUCGUGCGUGAAAGACCCCGGCUCAACUGGGGAGGGUCGUGCGAUACGGUCGGACUCGAGGCCAGUAGGGGGACGCGGAAUUCCGGGUGUAGUGGUGGAAUGCGUAGAGAUCCGGAGGAACACCAGCGGCGAAGGCGGCGUCCUGGACUGGUACUGACGCUCAGGUGCGAAAGCGUGGGGAGCGAACAGG